UAUUGGACAAUGGGGGCAACCCUGAUCCAGCGAUGCCGCGUGUGUGAAGAAGGCCUGCGGGUUGUAAAGCACUUUUGUUCAGGAAGAGAUUUUAUACAUGAAUAGUGUAUAGAUGAGACAUUACUGAAAGAAAAAGCACCGGCUAACUCUGUGCCAGCAGCCGCGGUAAUACAGAGGGUGCGAGCGUUAAUCGGAGUUACUGGGCGUAAAGGGCGCGUAGGCGGAGAUUUAAGUCAGAUGUGAAAUACCCGAGCUUAACUUGGGGGAGUCGUCUGAUACUGAAUGUCUAGAGUAUUGGAGAGGUAAGUGGAAUUUCCGGUGUAGCGGUGAAAUGCGUAGAUAUCGGAAGGAACAUCCGUGGCGAAGGCGACUUACUGGCCAAAUACUGACGCUGAGGCGCGAAAGCGUGGGGAGCGAACAGG
rnacentral:rRNA from 1 species